UACGUAGGGUGCAAGCGUUGUCCGGAAUUACUGGGCGUAAAGAGCUCGUAGGUGGUUUGUCGCGUUGUUCGUGAAAACUCACAGCUCAACUGUGGGCGUGCGGGCGAUACGGGCAGACUAGAGGUAGGCAGGGGAGAGCGGAACUCCUGGUGUAGCGGUGGAAUGCGCAGAUAUCAGGAGGAACACCGGUGGCGAAGGCGGGUCUCUGGGCCGAUACUGACGCUGAGGAGCGAAAGCAUGGGUAGCGAACAGG
rnacentral:rRNA from 1 species